rnacentral:rRNA from 1 species
GCGUGCUUCGUUCAGUUACACGACCAAUUGCUCUGCCGGAGGCAUGGUAAUGCAGAGGGUUUGAUCAUGGCUCAGAUUGAACGCUGGCGGGAUGCUGCAUGCAAGUCGAACGGCAGCACGGACUUCGGUCUGGUGGCGAGUAUGGCGAACGAAGGUAGUAUGAAAAAUGUAUCGGAACGUGCUAGUAGCGGGGAUAACUACGCGAAAGCGUAGCUAAUACCACAUACGCCAUAAGAAAGCGAGACCUUAGACCUCACCUUCUAAUGGGCGACCCGUUGUCGGGUUAUGGUUGGUGGGGUAACGGCUCACAAGGCGAUGAUCCAUGGCUGGUUUAGAGGACGACCAGCCACUGGGUUGUUCUGACUGAACUCCUGCAGGAGAACGUGGUGAGAUUUUGCCCGGACAAUAAAACCUGGUGGCCAUCCCGCGUAUUACGAUGAGAGCCUUCGGGUUGUAAGCUGCUGGCAGGAAGAAACGGCCUGGGAUAAUACCCGUGCAGCUGGCAACUGCCUGCAGGAAUCGCUUUUUAACCCAACUACGUGCCAACGCUAACCGCGAAAUAAUGCGUAGAGGUGCAAGCGUUAAUCGGAAUUACUGGUGACGUAAGCCGUGCCAGACGGUUCGGGAAAGAAAGAUGUAAGUCCCAGAGCUUAGCUUUUUGAACUGCAUUUUUGCUACCGAAAUAGAGUGUGUCUGAGGAGGUAAAUUCCGCGUGUAAGCAGUGAAAAUGCGUAGAUAUGCGGAGGAACACCGAUGGCGAAGGCAGCCUCUGGGAUAACACUGGCCUUUCGUGCUGGCGUGAAGACAAACGAGUUAGAUACCCUGUGGUCGCUAAAAACGAUGUCAACUAGCUGUUGCAGCCUUCGGGCCUUGGUAGCGCAACUUAACCCAACGCGUGAAGUUGACCGCCUGGGAAUGGUCACUAGGUUAAAAAGCUCGAAGAUUGACCGGACCCACUUUGGCAAUUGGAUGAAAGUGGAUUAGUCGAUGCAACGCGAAAAACCUUACCUACCCUUGGUAUCUGGAAUCCCGAAAGAGAUUUGAUUGCUCGCAAGAGAACCGGAACACAGGUGCUGCAUGGUUGUCAGAAUCGCUCGUGUCGUGAGAUGUUAGGUUAAGUCUAUAAGCUAUACUUAAUCGUGGUGCUGAAGGGCAUAGUGACUGCGGUGACAAACCGGAAGGUGGGGAUGACGUCAAGUCCUCAUGGCCCUUAUGGUGAACUUCGCACGUCAUGCAAUGGUCAGGACAGUGCUGUACGAACCAAUCCCAGAAACCCGAUCAUCGUCCGGGAUCUGCAGUCUACAGCUCGACUUCGCGUAGUCAAAUCGCUGGUAAUCGCGGAUCAGCAUGUCGCGGUAAGAUACGUUCCCGGGUCUUGUACCACACUUAAUCUUUUUCAGCAGGUGGUUUGCGAAGUAGUUAGCCUAACCCGUAAGGCGAUUGCGUAGGAUUCAUGACUGGGUGAAGUCGUAACAAGGUAG